AUUGAACGCUGGCGGCAGGCCUAACACAUGCAAGUCGAGCGGAGCGGCGGACGGGCGAGUAAUCCCUAGGCAUCUGCCUGGUAGUGCGUGAUCACGUCCGGAAACGGGCGCUAAUACCGCAUACUAUCAGAUGAGCCUAGCUCGGAUUAGCUAGUUGGUGGGGUAAAGGCCUACCAAGGCGACGAUCCGUAACUGGUCUGAGAGGAUGAUCAGUCACACUGGAACUGAGACACGGUCCAGACGCCUACGGGAGGCAGCAGUGGGGAAUAUUGGACAAUGGGCGAAAGCCUGAUCCAGCCAUGCCGCGGGUGUGAAGAAGGUCUUCGGAUUGUAAAGCACUUUAAGUUGGGAGGCGUUACCAACAGAAUAAGCACCGGCUAACUACGUGCCAGCAGCCGCGGUAAAUC
rnacentral:rRNA from 1 species